CCUACGGGAGGCAGCAGUGGGGAAUAUUGGACAAUGGGCGAAAGCCUGAUCCAGCCAUGCCGCGUGUGUGAAGAAGGUCUUCGGAUUGUAAAGCACUUUAAGUUGGGAGGAAGGGCAGUAAAUUAAUACUUUGCUGUUUUGACGUUACCGACAGAAUAAGCACCGGCUAACUCUGUGCCAGCAGCCGCGGUAAUACAGAGGGUGCAAGCGUUAAUCGGAAUUACUGGGCGUAAAGCGCGCGUAGGUGGUUCGUUAAGUUGGAUGUGAAAUCCCCGGGCUCAACCUGGGAACUGCAUUCAAAACUGACGAGCUAGAGUAUGGUAGAGGGUGGUGGAAUUUCCUGUGUAGGGGUGAAAUGCGUAGAUAUAGGAAGGAACACCAGUGGCGAAGGCGACCACCUGGACUGAUACUGACACUGAGGUGCGAAAGCGUGGGGAGCAAACAGGAUUAGAUCCCCC
rnacentral:rRNA from 1 species